rnacentral:rRNA from 1 species
UACGGGGGGAGCAAGCGUUGUUCGGAUUUACUGGGCGUAAAGGGCGCGUAGGCGGUCAGCACAAGUCAAUUGUGAAAUCUCCGAGCUUAACUCGGAAAGGUCAACUGAAACUGUGCGACUAGAGUGCGGAAGGGGCAACUGGAAUUCUUGGUGUAGCGGUGAAAUGCGUAGAGAUCGGGAGGAACACCGGUGGCGAAGGCGGGUCUCUGGGCAAUUCCUGACGCUGAGGCGCGAAAGCGUGGGGAGCAAACGGG